rnacentral:siRNA from 1 species
UAUCAUGUACCGCCUAAGCUUG